ACCGUGGUAAUUCUAGAGCUAAUACAUGCUAAAAACCCCGACUUCGGAAGGGGUGUAUUUAUUAGAUAAAAAACCAAUGCCCUCUGGGCUCUUUGGUGAUUCAUAAUAACUUAACGAAUCGCAUGGCCUUGCGCCGGCGAUGGUUCAUUCAAAUUUCUGCCCUAUCAACUUUCGAUUGUAAGAUAGAGGCUUACAAUGGUAUUAACGGGUAACGGGGAAUUAGGGUUCUAUUCCGGAGAGGGAGCCUGAGAAACGGCUACCACAUCCAAGGAAGGCAGCAGGCGCGCAAAUUACCCAAUGCUAAUUCAGCGAGGUAGUGACAAUAAAUACUGAUACGGGGCUCUUUCGGGUCUCGUAAUUGGAAUGAGUACAAUCUAAAUCCCUUAACGAGGAACAAUUGGAGGGCAAGUCUGGUGCCAGCAGCCGCGGUAAUUCCAGCUCCAAUAGCGUAUAUUAAAGUUGUUGCCGUUAAAAAGCUCGUAGUUGAACCUUGGACCUGGCUGAUCUGUCCUCCUAAUCGAGCGCACGGAUUCGGUCGGGUCUUUCCUUCUGGGGAGCCCUAUGCCCUUCACUGGGUGUAGUGGGGAACCAGGACUUUUACCUUGAAAAAAUUAGAGUGUUCAAAGCAGGCCUUUGCUCGAAUACAUUAGCAUGGAAUAAUAGAAUAGGACAUCGGUUCUAUUUUGUUGGUUUCUAGGACCGCUGUAAUGAUUAAUAGGGAUAGUCGGGGGCGUCAGUAUUCAAUUGUCAGAGGUGAAAUUCUUGGAUUUAUUGAAGACUAACUACUGCGAAAGCAUUCGCCAAGGAUGUUUUCAUUAAUCAGUGAACGAAAGUUAGGGGAUCGAAGACGAUCAGAUACCGUCGUAGUCUUAACCAUAAACUAUGCCGACUAGGGAUCGGACGGUGGUUUUUUUAUGCCCCGUUCGGCACCUUACGAGAAAUCAAAGUUUUUGGGCUCGGGGGGGAGUAUGGUCGCAAGGCUGAAACUUAAAGAAAUUGACGGAAGGGCACCACCAGGCGUGGAGCCUGCGGCUUAAUUUGACCCAACACGGGGAAACUCACCAGGUCCAGACAUGCUUAGGAUUGACAGAUUGAUAGCUCUUUCUUGAUUGUAUGGGUGGUGGUGCAUGGCCGUUCUUAGUUGGUGGAGUGAUUUGUCUGCUUAAUUGCGAUAACGAACGAGACCUUGACCUGCUAAAUAGCCAGGUUGACUCAA
rnacentral:rRNA from 1 species